GGGCUCGCCUCGGCAGCACAGAUACUAAAACUGGGACGAUACAGAGAAGGUUAGCGUGGCCCCUGUGCAAGGAUGACACAAAUUCGUGAAGCGUUCCAUGUUUUU
rnacentral:snRNA from 1 species